UAAAAAAAAGAAAAAAAAACUAAAAAAGCCUCUGGCUUGACUUCACUAAAACCCUGUUAAAGAGCCAGGAAAAUGAUAAAUAUGCCAAAUACAAAAAAGUGGCUAAUAGUCAAAGGAGCGUUACCUGUAGUACAUGCAGGCAGAUCCUCACCCAUAAGAACAUGUGGUUCAGCCCGGUGUGAUGCACAGAAAGCCGGUUAUAUGCUUUCCUUGGUCUAUCUUUAUAUCUGUUAGUGAGACUCAAUUUUCCACCUUGGGGAGAGGGAGGGGUAAUAACUGGUACAAAUUGUUGUGGUAUAAAAAGUUGGGAUUUUAGCUUCAAUCCAGUUUUGUUUUCCACCAGUUGCAGGUGGAGUAGAUCUUGUACAGGUUAUACAGUCAUACAGACUUUUUAAGAUGUAUUCCUACUGACAGGAUUACUGAAAAGGAUUAAAGGAGAAACCGUAUCAGUUCAGCUACAGUGAAAGAACUAGCUGACAAGCUGAACAAGAGCUUUAUUUUUCUUGUUCUUGUGUAGUUUUUGAUGAUCGCAAGGUUUAAAGAGUUACUCCUCCUGCUUUCUUUCUGACACUCAGUAACAGAAUAUCUGCAGAGCUCGCCCCGUCGCAGACCGCAGCCAGGCCCAUCCAAAUAGCUACACAGCUGACGAUACAAAAACAUUACGAAGCGCGUAAAUGAAGGCAAAAGCAGGAAAACUGAGACCCGGGUUUGAUACUUGAUAUUACUGCUGAUGACAAACCAGGCUGUCACUCUCCUGCAGCUCUGCAUACUAUACUGCAUUUGUUUGUAUAUAUAUAAAUAAAUAAAUAUUGACAAAAUAUAUAAAAUUUAUAGUUGUACUACCAUGAUGGGAGAAGGGGGAACUUUCACUUAAACCCAUAACGAUAAUUCACUGUUCACAGACUAGCAGUUAUAAAGCUGGAACACCCAGAGGAACCGUGUACUGGGGUGGAGGUGUAAGGCAACAGUGCUACUCACACAGCUGCUAUUCCAUACACAAGGGGCCACCUAUAAAAUCGCGAAACAAUCGGGUGUAGAUUCCAAUUCAUUUAAAUACAAAAUUCAGCAGCUAGAAUUACUAAAUGAAUGGUUCUUCAUUUACAAAUCUCUAACCUCAGCCAGCUUUAGCCACUCCCUUCAACGAAUAAAGAAAAUACAGUAAUUAGAAAAUGUAAUAUAAUUAAUGCAGGCACAUAUUCCCUCAGAAUAUUUUUUUUACUUUUUCAUGUUAAACAAAGGAUAUGUGGUCAUACUUAAUGGCUGACUUCACAUGCCAUUGCAGUUAUGAGUAAGGGUGCGACCUGGGUGUGUUUGGGUGGCAAGAUUCUUUCAGAAAAGACACCACCUAUGAGUAAUCACCCAUUCACCACAGACGUGUACUAAUACACACAUUUACUGCUCUGACAGUUCACACCUUCAAACGAGAAAGUCACGACUCACUGCACGGCAAUAGCAUUCACUGGAAACAUCCAUUCUUAUUACAUCCAGCAGAGCAGCCUCAAACAUGAAACCAUGCCAAUCUGAGAGCCACUGCAUCACAAUCAUGGCAACUCAGAAGUCCGUGAGAGAACUGACAUGCUGCUGUUUAUUCAAAGUUACAGAGCAGUGCUGAAAUCUGGUGUGAGCUAAAGCAGUAAAUGCCAUCACAAUCAUAUAAUGCGACAGAAAAGCUGUACCAGCAGAGCUAUUUGCAAAUGAUUAUCCAUCUAAUGGCGAUCUCUUAUUCGAAUCUCCCGGUCUUGUAUUUGCUGCUGGGCAGGACUGCAACAUUUUCCAUAAAAUCUUGGUUUAGAUGGGAAAGAGGUCAUAAUGGACGCUGUGCAACAUAAGGUUUCCAGGAAUCACUAUUUAUUUUAUGAGAAAAAUGUUUUGGGUUGUCAUGUAUAGCAAUCACCUGUUUGGAGGGACAUCUUAUUCAUGGUUCAAAUUAUGCAUCUUUAUAAUGAUUAAGAAUUAAACAUGGGAAUCCAUAACAUUUCCAUUAGUGCAGCAUAUCCCUUUUUAUAUGUUUGUUGUUCAGGUAUGGAAAGAAAAAUCAUUUUCUUUGAUGGCCCAUUGUAAAUAUAUUUAUAGACCAUUAGAUUUAAUCGAAUGGAUUUUGAUGUUCUGCAGUGGAAAAAUAUUAAGGAUUUCAACAGAGCAGGAAUUACAAAGGGUAUGACCCAGGGAGCAGUAAAUAACAGCACAUACAAUAUCCCAGCCAGGUGGCACAGCCACCCAGAAAGAUACGGGAUAAAGACAUUGUGACUUCUGAUGAGAAAAUAAGGGCAUUUAGAGCCACUCCAGCCUAACUGCUACCUAACGAGAUGUGGGAAAUAUACUGUACAAACACCAAGCAGAUUGUGGACUGGAUUAAGAUGAUUUAGACACUAUGUUUCCCCUGCUGGGCUUCAUUAAGGUUCAAUAAAUCACAAGGGACACUGAAGGAUUAAAAAAUUAUUUUAAAAUGUGUAAGGAUGCUGCAUACAUGCACAAGAGUGAAGCUGUGUUUGUUUACAUCAGGCUGCAUUGGUGCAUGAAUGGAUAGCAAAGUUGUACAUGGUCUAAUAAAGCACAUAUAAUGAAGCAUAUACUUAGUCAAUUGAAAGCAAUCAGUCUAGCAACAUGAAUGUGAACAUAUGAACUCUAGUUUGUUUUAUAAUUUUGACUAUAACUUUAUUUAAUGUGAUAUGUUAAAGGUGUUUUUAACACAAAAAUGAUAUCAGGAAUCUACUAAAUGGGGUAACAUACUACAUGCAAAUUCGUGAGUUAGAUUUCUGUGUGCAUGUAUUUGGACUGUGGGUGGAAAACAAAACAGCCUAAGGAGACCUGUACAAUAUGGGGAGAACAUGUGAACUCCUGACACACAGAGGGGUGGGGCGGUUUGAGCCCCCCCACCUUAGAGGAACAGGGCAAUGCUGCUACACACUGCACUAAUCUGACAAAGUAUUAAAGCUGCAUAUUUGAAUACUUUCUAUAAUUUAAUCCAUUGUUAAACAGCUGAAAUGUAAUGUCUUGAAUGUGGUAUUAGUUCUAGCUGGCUCAAUACUGUACUGUAGCACUGGAUAGAGGAAAAAUGAUACUAAGAAAUAACAAAUGAAAACCCAAAGCACAAGUCAUAAAUUAUUCAAUGAGUCUUGCACUAGUAUAUGCUCAGCCAAAAAGAUAUAAUUAUUUUUAAGCCAAUGAAAUCAGUUUUGUUUUCAAAAGGUCAUAGCUGAUUCAUACCUGCACCUAGCUUGCCGGCAAUAACCUCCUUUGUCUUAUAACGUUACAAAAACAAUGUUAGAGGAACAAUAUCCAUGGAGAAAUAAAUCUACUCUUGUAGUAUACAGUAUGGAUUAGCAAUCAAAUAUGUUUGAUUAACUUAAACAUGAUUUAACUUAAACCUACGUAUCCUUAAUGUAGCAAGCAAUUUUUAAAUAAUUUCUGCACCAGUACAGUUAGUGCUUUGCUAUAUGUAAAUCUUUAAUGGUUAUGAGUCAAUGAAAGAAUCAGCCCAUUACAUCUUCUACAGAUCAACCAACAUGAAUCCUGCUCGACUACAAUACUCAAUUUGCCUAUACACAUGAUAUAUAGUGAAAUAUAUUCCAAUUUAUAAUGCCAGACAACACAACUAUUUAGAUACUGAGAAUUUUCUCCAGUAAGUCAGUGGAAAAGACAAUUCUUUGACUCUGUAAAGAACAAAUCACUUAUAACAUCUUUUAACAAGCAAAUAAGUCAUACACUAAUAUACAUGUAAAACUUGUAUGGCUGGAGCUGUUGCCCACACAUGUUUUAGAGAGUGAGUAAUUGAGAUAAGCCAGUUCCGAGAAGUCCCACCUCUCCCUAGUUCAUUUACUGGUUGAAAAAUGAUUAAAUCUAACCAAAUCUGACAUGAAAGCAACAGUGAAUUGCUCAACAAAAAUUUGCAGAAAUCAUGCAGUUUCCCCAUAUACCAGCAAAUACAAUACACAAUAAAAUAGGCCAUAAAACUACAAGGCGAGAUAACUUGACCUUUUCUUGGGGCUAACACACGGGUGUGGCUGAUCCGCCCUAUUGCCGUGACCUCACUGCUUGAUUCGCCAGACGCAAUGACCACCGUCAACUCAAACUACUCCAGUAGCGUUGGGUAUAAGUUGUACCGCCAGCUGGAAAGGCCAGCCUUUCAGCUCACUGUGGUCCUGCAAACAUUCAUGAAAAAUGAAUGGAGGAAGUAAUUCAAGCAGUACAGGACCCAUUGUGCAGCAAGUAGAAGAGGGAAUAGUGGAAUGUCCAGUUUAAUGGACACCAUAGUAAAGUAUUAGUUGGAAUAAAAGGCUUAGCUGUAAUCUCUUCAUGUGGCAUGAAUGGAAAGUCUUUGAAUCAGUUCAGAUCUUGCUGUGUGUCCAUAAUGAAUUACAGCAUUGUGCUUUAAUUGAAUGAGCUAGAUUGUUAGUGGUGCAACAUUUCCUUACACACUGGCAUUUUGCAAAUGACAUUCAGUAACGUCACAACGGUGAUAGAAGUAUUGGGUAAAUGAGUUCAAAGCCAGAGUACAUUGAUACAGACAAGACAAAACAUUUGCUACUUAAUAUUCACCUGAAAAAGUUAGGCAAUAAAACAAAAUUAAA